GACGAACGCUGGCGGCGCGCCUAACACAUGCAAGUCGAGCGGGAAGCUUUUUAAGGAUUCUUCGGAUGAAUUAAAAAGUGGAGAGCGGCGGACGGGUGAGUAACGCGUGAGAAACCUGCCCUAUACAGGGGGAUAGCCAUUGGAAACGAUGAUUAAUACCCCAUAUGACCACAGUAUCGCAUGAUACAGCGGUGAAAACUCCGGUGGUAUAGGAUGGUCUCGCGUCUGAUUAGCUAGUUGGUGGGGUAAGGCCUACCAAGGCGACGAUCAGUAGCCGGCCUGAGAGGGUGACCGGCCACACUGGGAACUGAGCACGGUCCAGACUCCUAGGAGGCAGCAGUGGGGAAUAUUGCACAAUGGGCGAAAGCCUGAUGCAGCGACGCCGCGUGAACGAUGAAGGCUUUUUGAGUCGAAAAGUUCGUUCUUGGGG
rnacentral:rRNA from 1 species